CCUUCAGUCUUGAGGAGACUCUGGGGUGACAUCACAGCAUCUGCUCCAGAAGUCUGCUGAACCCAUCCUGGCUAACUGUAAUGCAACUAUUAACCAUAAUACUUUCCUUUAAAAAUCUCACACAAAUGCUGAAAGAGAUGAGAUACUGAGACAGAAAAUGUAAGCUGGGACUGUCCUAAGUGAAUCAGGAAAAAGUUACCCUGUCUAUAAUGAAGUUCAGGGAGAAAGAACAACUUACAUUGAACAGCCUUAAAGAGGCCGGGCUAACAGGGAUUGCUGAUGGGGAAAUAAAGAAAUAAUCAAGGAUGAAUCCUAGAUCUGGGGCUUGAGCAAAUAUGUUCAACUCCUGACACUGGUACCUGUGAAUGUGAUCUUAUCUGGAAAGAGAGACUUUUUGGCCUAUGAGAUACGGGGGCCCCAAAUCCGACGACUGGAGUCAUUGGAAGAAGAGGAGAGGAUGCACAGAGAGACACAUGAAGAGAAGAGCACUGUGUGUAGAUGGAAGCACAAGUUGGAGCGAUGCAGCUACAAGCCAAGGAACACCAAGGAACCAGAAAGAGGCGUUAAGAAUCCUUCCUUAGAGCCUUCAGAGGGUACCUGACCCUGCUGACACCUUGAUUUUGGACUUCUAGCCUCUAGAAUUAUGAGUGAAUACAUUUCUGUUAUUUUAAGCCACAGAAGUGAUCAUUUGUUAUAGCAAUGCUUGGGAACAAAUACAUAUACCAAUAUGGUUUUAUUAGCUAGUAUACUCUAAUUUUAUAGUCAGUAAUAUCAAGGGA